CCUACGGGAGGCAGCAGUGAGGAAUAUUGGUCAAUGGACGAGAGUCUGAACCAGCCAAGUAGCGUGAAGGAUGACUGCCCUAUGGGUUGUAAACUUCUUUUAUAUGGGAAUAAAACGUUCCACGUGUGGGAUUUUGUAUGUACCAUAUGAAUAAGGAUCGGCUAACUCCGUGCCAGCAGCCGCGGUAAUACGGAGGAUACGAGCGUUAUCCGGAUUUAUUGGGUUUAAAGGGAGCGUAGGUGGACUGUUAAGUCAGUUGUGAAAGUUUGCGGCUCAACCGUAAAAUUGCAGUUGAAACUGGCAGUCUUGAGUACAGUAGAGGUGGGCGGAAUUCGUGGUGUAGCGGUGAAAUGCUUAGAUAUCACGAAGAACUCCGAUUGCGAAGGCAGUUCACUGGACUGCAACUGACACUGAGGCUCGAAAGUGUGGGUAUCAAACAGGAUUAGAUACCCGUGUAGUC
rnacentral:rRNA from 1 species